rfam:Haemonchus contortus, ISE/inbred ISE, WGS project CAVP01000000 data, contig: Hcontortus_36673
GGCGCAAACUUGAAGUAGAGUACAUAAGUAUGGUCAGAUAAUCGUACUAGUCGACUCUACUUCAAAUUUGGGCCC